rnacentral:rRNA from 1 species
CCUACCGAUUGAAUGGUCCGGCGAGAACUCAGGAUGGAUAUGGAUUUUGGACCCGUUAGGUGUUCCAACCAUAUCCAGAAUUUGUUCAAACCUUACCAUUUAGAGGAAGGAGAAGUCGUAACAAGGUU